AUUGAACGCUGGCGGCAGGCCUAACACAUGCAAGUCGAACGAGUGGCAGACGGGUGAGUAAUGUCUGGGAAACUGCCUGAUGGCGGGGGAUAAAUACUGGAAACGGUAGCUAAUACCGCAUACCAUCAGAUGUUACCAGAUUGGAUUAGCUAGUUGGUGGGGUACAGGCUCACCAGGGCGACGAUCACUAGCGGGUCUGAGAGGAUGAACAGCCACACUGGAACUGAGACACGGUCCAGACUCCUACGGGAGGCAGCAGUGGUGACUAUUGCACAAUGGGCGCAAGCCUGAUGCAGCCAUGCCGCGUGUAUGAAGAAGGCCUUCGGGUUGUAAAGUACUUUCAGCGGGGAGGCGUUACCCGCAGAAGAAGCACCGGCUAACUCCGUGCCAGCAGCCGCGGUAAUUC
rnacentral:rRNA from 1 species